CUCAAAAGGUCCUGAGAGACCAUCAUAACCACCCUCUUUAUUUUACAGAUACAGCUUCUGAGGAUCACGGGGAUGAAAGGCAUGAACUGGGCUCACACAGCUACUCCUUCCCAUUUAUGAGAGAGCCACAUGACAUCAGCCCAUAGACUGUGGAGAGUAUUCCAGAUCUAUCACAUUCUGCGAUUCUGCGAUUCCCAGAAGGCUGGUCAUGAAAAAAUUCCCUCUUCAGUUUACAUAUAUGGCAGUGGCACUUCUAGAUAUCUGUUGAGGCCUGGAAGGGGCAAAACAAUUCAGGAAGCAGUUGAAGAUAAAGGGGUUUACCAUGGAAGAGAAGAUCCAGGUGCCUUCAUGGAAAUGCUUGUGGUUGAAAAGAGAUGAAGAUGAGGGUCCCUGGAAAGAGGAAGAACCAGCCAGGAAAAUUAUACCAUUAGCAAGACUGGCAUCAGCAAGUAGUUCGCAGUGUUGGUUGUUCUUGGUUUCGCAGGAUUUUAUAGGAGAGUUUCUGUCAGGCCUUUGAGCCCAAGCUAAGCCAUCAUACCCCUGUGACCUACACGUUAUACAUCCAGAUGGCCUGAAGCAAUUGAAGAUCCACAAAAUAAGUGAAAAUAGCCUUAACGGAUGACAUUCCACCAUUGUGAUUUGUUUCCACCCCACCCUAACUGAUACAUAUAUUCUCCCCCACCCUUAAGAAGGUACUUCGGAAUGUUCUCUCCCGCUCUUAAGAAUGUGCUUUGUAUGCCUAUCCCAAACCUGUAAGAACUAAUGAUAAUCCCACCACCCUUUGCUGACUCUUUUUUUUGGACUCAGCCCAUCUGCACUCAGGUGAAAUAAACAGCCUUGUUACUCACACAAAGCCUGUUUGGUGGUCUCUUCACAUGGAUGUGCGUGACAUUUGGUGCCGUGACUAGGAUUGGGGGCCCUCCCUUGGGAGAUCAAUCCCCUGUCCUCCUGCUCUUUGCUCCAUGAGAAAGAUCCACCUACGACUUUGGGUCCUUAGACCAACCAGCCCAAGGAACAUCUCACCAAUUUUAAAUCGGGUAAGCAGCCUCUUUU
rnacentral:lncRNA from 1 species